AACGAACGCUGGCGGCAGGCUUAACACAUGCAAGUCGAGCGCCCCGCAAGGGGAGCGGCAGACGGGUGAGUAACGCGUGGGAACGUACCCCCCGGUUCGGAAUAACUCAGGGAAACUUGAGCUAAUACCGGAUACGGCGAACAAGAGAGAUCUUGGAGGCGAAAGAUUCAUCGCCGGGGGAUCGGCCCGCGUCCGAUUAGCUAGUUGGCGGGGUAACGGCCCACCAAGGCGACGAUCGGUAGCUGGUCUGAGAGGAUGAUCAGCCACAUUGGGACUGAGACACGGCCCAAACUCCUACGGGAGGCAGCAGUGGGGAAUAUUGGACAAUGGGCGCAAGCCUGAUCCAGCCAUGCCGCGUGAGUGAUGAAGGCCUUAGGGUUGUAAAGCUCUUUCGCCCACGACGAUAAUGACGGUAGUGGGAGAAGAAGCCCCGGCUAACUUCGUGCCAGCAGCCGCGGUAAUACGAAGGGGGCUAGCGUUGUUCGGAAUUACUGGGCGUAAAGCGCGUGUAGGCGGGUCCUUAAGUCAGGGGUGAAAUGCCGAGGCUCAACCUCGGAACUGCCUUUGAUACUGGGGAUCUUGAGUCCGGGAGAGGUGAGUGGAACUGCGAGUGUAGAGGUGAAAUUCGUAGAUAUUCGCAAGAACACCAGUGGCGAAGGCGGCUCACUGGCCCGGAACUGACGCUGAGACGCGAAAGCGUGG
rnacentral:rRNA from 1 species